rnacentral:rRNA from 1 species
GAAUAUUGGUCAAUGGGCGAGAGCCUGAACCAGCCAUGCCGCGUGAAGGAUGAAGGCGUUCUGCGUUGUAAACUUCUUUUACCUGGGAAGAAAAAGCUCUUGCGAGAGUAAUUGACGGUACCAGAUGAAUAAGCACCGGCUAACUCCGUGCCAGCAGCCGCGGUAAUACGGAGGGUGCAAGCGUUGUCCGGAUUUAUUGGGUUUAAAGGGUGCGUAGGCGGAUGAUUAAGUCAGUGGUGAAAGCCCACAGCUCAACUGUGGAACUGCCAUCGAUACUGGUUAUCUUGAGUAUAGUUAAGGCAGGCGGAAUUUACGAUGUAGCGGUGAAAUGCAUAGAUAUCGUAAAGAACACCUAUAGCGAAGGCAGCUUGCUAAACUAUAACUGACGCUGAGGCACGAAAGCAUGGGUAGCGAACAGG